AUACGGAGGAUCCAAGCGUUAUCCGGAUUUAUUGGGUUUAAAGGGAGCGUAGGCGGAUUAUUAAGUCAGUUGUGAAAGUUUGCGGCUCAACCGUAAAAUUGCAGUUGAUACUGGUAGUCUUGAGUGCAGCAGAGGUAGGCGGAAUUCGUGGUGUAGCGGUGAAAUGCUUAGAUAUCACGAAGAACUCCGAUUGCGAAGGCAGCUUACUGGACUGUAACUGACGCUGAUGCUCGAAAGUGUGGGUAUCAAACAGGAUUAGAUACCCUGGUAGUCCACACAGUAAACGAUGAAUACUCGCUGUUUGCGAUAUACAGCAAGCGGCCAAGCGAAAGCAUUAAGUAUUCCACCUGGGGAGUACGCCGGCAACGGUGAAACUCAAAUGAAUUGGCGGGG
rnacentral:rRNA from 1 species